rnacentral:tRNA from 1 species
GGUGCGGUAGCCAAGUGGCAAGGCAACGGUCUGCAAAACCGUUAUUCGUCGGUUCGAUUCCGACCCGCACCU